UACGUAGGGGGCUAGCGUUGUCCGGAAUCAUUGGGCGUAAAGAGCGUGUAGGCGGCUCGGUAAGUCCGCUGUAAAAGUCAAAGGCUCAACCUUUGAAUGUCAGUGGAUACUGCCGGGCUAGAGUCCGGAAGAGGCGAGUGGAACUCCUGGUGUAGCGGUGGAAUGCGCAGAUAUCAGGAAGAACACCAACGGCGAAGGCAGCUCGCUGGGACGGUACUGACGCUGAGACGCGAAAGCGUGGGGAGCGAACCGG
rnacentral:rRNA from 1 species